rnacentral:rRNA from 1 species
GCCUACGGGGGGCAGCAGUGGGGAAUAUUGCACAAUGGGGGAAACCCUGAUGCAGCGACGCCGCGUGAGUGAAGAAGUAUUUCGGUAUGUAAAGCUCUAUCAGCAGGGAAGAAAUACUGACCUUACGGUCAGCAGACGGUACCUGACUAAGAAGCCCCGGCUAACUACGUGCCAACAGCCGCGGUAAUACGUAGGGGGCAAGCGUUAUCCGGAUUUACUGGGUGUAAAGGGAGCGUAGACGGCGAAGCAAGUCUGAAGUGAAAACCCAGGGCUCAACCCUGGGACUGCUUUGGAAACUGUUUUGC